GUUGGAUGGUACAGUGGAAUUAUCACUUGAUGAAAAGAAAGCCAUCAAUGAGCUUGCAGUCUCCUGGGAUUUGCCACAUGUUACAGCAGAGAACAGAAGAUGGCUCCUUGAAAAACUGCUUUUGCACGCUGUUCUUACAAGAACCUCAAGACAACUGAAACAAUUAAGACGGGGGUUAAAGGAGACCCUGAUCUGGCCUUUACUAACAGAAAGAAAAGAAACAAUUCCUCUUCUGUUUCCAAGGGCAUCUGAAAUGCAGUACUCACCACAGCAUCUACGGCUAUAUUCCUGGAAAGAACAGGUUAAUCUGAACACAAGUUAGUUUACACAUGUUGGGGAACGGCCAAUUUGACAUCUCCAGUUAGCCUAACCUGCAUUUCUGGACUGUGGGAGGAAAUCCGAGUAUCCAGAGUAAAGCCAUGCUGACAGAGGGAGAAAAUUCAAACUCCAAACAUCAAGGCCACCCGAACCUGUCAGGGCUCAAACAGAGGACUUUCUUGCUGUGAGGCAAUGGUGCUACCCACUGAGCCACCCCCUUAGUUGUUAUAUAAUUACUGUAAG